UGCGAUUCUCAACUCAGUUUCUGACCUAUCACUUUGGACGUAGGGUAUUGGCCUACCGGGGCACGACGGUAACGGGGAAUUAGGGUUCGAUUCCAGAGAGGGAGCCUGAGAAAUGGCUACCACAUCUAACGAAGGCAGCAGCGCGUAAAUUACUCAGCCUAACACACAGGGGUAGUGACGGAAAUAACAAUACGAGGCUUAAAGUCUUG
rnacentral:rRNA from 1 species